rnacentral:rRNA from 1 species
UACGGGGGGUGCGAGCGUUGUCCGGAAUCACUGGGCGUAAAGGGCGCGUAGGUGGUUUGAUAAGGGUGUGGUGAAGGUCCGGGGCUCAACCCCGGAUCUGCCGUGCCGACUGUCAAACUCGAGGACUGUAGAGGCAGACGGAAUUCCGGGUGUAGCGGUGGAAUGCGUAGAGAUCCGGAGGAAGACCGGUGGCGAAGGCGGUCUGCUGGGCAGUUUCUGACACUGAGGCGCGACAGCGUGGGGAGCAAACAGG